GCUAACUCCAUGCCAGCGGCCGCGGUAAUACGGAGGAUCCGAGCGUUAUCCGGAUUUAUUGGGUUUAAAGGGUGCGUAGGCGGGUUGAUAAGUCAAUGGUGAAAGGUUUGCGCUCAACGUAAACCUUGCCAUUGAAACUGUCAGUCUUGAGUACGAAUGAGGUAGGCGGAAUGUGUUGUGUAGCGGUGAAAUGCAAAGAUAUGACACAGAACACCAAUUGCGAAGGCAACUGACUGGGAUGUAACUGACGCUGAGGCACAAAAGCGUGGGGAUCAAACAGGAUUAGAUACCCUGGUAGUCCACGCAGUAAACGAUGAUUACUAGCUGUUAGCGAUAGAAUGUUAGUGGCUAAGCGAAAGCGAUAAGUAAUCCACCUGGGGAGUACGACCGCAAGGUUGAAA
rnacentral:rRNA from 1 species